rnacentral:tRNA from 1 species
AGGCGCGUAGCUCAGCUGGGAGAGCGCUACCUCGACAAGGUAGAUGUCGGCGGUUCAAGCCCGUCCGCGCCUA